GCCGGGUGCGGUGGCAUGUGCCUGUAAUCCAAGUCACUGGGAGGCCGAGGUUGGUGGAUCAAGUGAGCUGAGGAGCUCUGGGCUGUAGCACGCUAUAUCGAACGGGUGUCCACGCUAAGUUCGGUAUCGAUAUGGUGUUCCUGGGGGAGCCCGGUACCACCAGGUUGUCUAAGGAGGGGUGAACCGGCCCAGGUCGGAAACGAAGCAGGUCAAAUCCCCCGUGCUGUCCAGUAGUGGGAUAAUAGAUAAUGGCGCAGACAGAGAUGGCCGCCUCGCUUCGCGUUCCUAGGAAACUAU
rnacentral:SRP_RNA from 1 species